CCGUACACAAAAAUGCACAUGCUGUGAGCUCGAUGAGUAGGGCGGGACACGUGGUAUCCUGUCUGAAUAUGGGGGGACCAUCCUCCAAGGCUAAAUACUCCUGACUGACCGAUAGUGAACCAGUACCGUGAGGGAAAGGCGAAAAGAACCCCGGCGAGGGGAGUGAAAAAGAACCUGAAACCGUGUACGUACAAGCAGUGGGAGCACAGAGCAAUCUGUGUGACUGCGUACCUUUUGUAUAAUGGGUCAGCGACUUAUAUUCUGUAGCAAGGUUAACCGAAUAGGGGAGCCGAAGGGAAACCGAGUCUUAACUGGGCGUUAAGUUGCAGGGUAUAGACCCGAAACCCGGUGAUCUAGCCAUGGGCAGGUUGAAGGUUGGGUAACACUAACUGGAGGACCGAACCGACUAAUGUUGAAAAAUUAGCGGAUGACUUGUGGCUGGGGGUGAAAGGCCAAUCAAACCGGGAGAUAGCUGGUUCUCCCCGAAAGCUAUUUAGGUAGCGCCUCGUGAAUUCAUCUCCGGGGGUAGAGCACUGUUUCGGCAAGGGGGUCAUCCCGACUUACCAACCCGAUGCAAACUGCGAAUACCGGAGAAUGUUAUCACGGGAGACACACGGCGGGUGCUAACGUCCGUCGUGAAGAGGGAAACAACCCAGACCGCCAGCUAAGGUCCCAAAGUCAUGGUUAAGUGGGAAACGAUGUGGGAAGGCCCAGACAGCCAGGAUGUUGGCUUAGAAGCAGCCAUCAUUUAAAGAAAGCGUAAUAGCUCACUGGUCGAGUCGGCCUGCGCGGAAGAUGUAACGGGGCUAAACCAUGCACCGAAGCUGCGGCAGCGACACUGUGUGUUGUUGGGUAGGGGAGCGU
rnacentral:rRNA from 1 species